rnacentral:rRNA from 1 species
AUACGGAGGGUGCGAGCGUUAAUCGGAAUUACUGGGCGUAAAGCGCGCGUAGGCGGUUUGUUAAGUCGGGUGUGAAAUCCCCGGGCUCAACCUGGGACCUGCAUCCGAUACUGGCAGGCUAGAGUCUGGUAGAGGGGGGUAGAAUUCCUGGUGUAGCGGUGAAAUGCGUAGAUAUCAGGAGGAAUACCAGUGGCGAAGGCGGCCCCCUGGACUGAGACUGACGCUGAGGUGCGAAAGCGUGGGGAGCAAACAGGAUUAGAUACCCUAGUAGUCC